UAUACAUCCAUACCACAACUGAAUGGAUAUAGCCUGCUCACUGUGAAAUCUGAUAUAAUUUAUGGAAGAGGCAGUGCGUGGUUUGUCUUCAACAAUCCUUGAGGGAAAAGGAGAAGAGGAAGAGAGGAUAAAACAUCCCGCACAAAUCCAUGCUCUCUGUGAUUUGAUGUCAUGAACCAGUGAACGAUCAAUAUUGGAAGAA
rnacentral:lncRNA from 1 species